UAUAUACUCCCUCCGUCCGAAAAUACUACUUGUCAAAGGAAUGGAUGUACCUAGAUUUACUUUAGUUCUAGAUACAUCCAUUCUUAUCUAUUUUUGCGACAAGUAAUUUCGGACGGAGGGAGUAUAUA
rfam:Hordeum vulgare subsp. vulgare, WGS project CAJW01000000 data, contig: morex_contig_272351